GCAAUGAAAAUACCAUUACAGUUGAAAAAGAAAAAAAGAAAUCCCGUAACAGGACUCCAAAAAAGAAAGGCAACUGCUGCAUUUGCUAUGAGGUGAAAGUUGACUCUGUUUUGUACAGGUGUGGACACAUGUGUGCGUGUCUCAAGUGUGCCAUCGAGCUGCAAUGUAACAGUGGAAAAUGUCCCAUAUGUCGGGCUAAAAUAGUGGAUGUUGUUCGAGUAUAUAUUGACGGUUAGGUGUCACAUUCGACAGAAUCUCAUCACUCCAUACGACUAUCCUUAGCAAGCUGCUACAAUUAACAUCACAAACCAUACACGAGUUUCUCCUUUUUUACAUGUACUUUCGUCAAGGGAGUGUAUGAUUUUUUUGCGGAGAAACAACAUCACUGUACAUUAUUUCAUAGUUUUAAAUUUAACCCUUUUUUUUCUUGUU